GCCCUUAGAGUUUGAUCAUGGCUCAGAAUCAACGCUGGCGGCGUGCCUCAGACAUGCAAGUUGAACGAUUAAACUCUUCUUCGGAAGAGAUAUAAAGUGGCGCACGGGUGAGUAACACGUAAGUAAUCUACCUUUGAGUGGGGAAUAACAGUCGGAAACGACUGCUAAUACCGCAUAAUGCAGCGGCACCUAAUGGUGACAGUUGUUAAAGUAUUUAUACGCUUAAAGAGGAGCUUGCGGCAGAUUAGCUAGUUGGUAAGGUAACGGCUUACCAAGGCGACGAUCUGUAUCCGACCUGAGAGGGUGGUCGGACACACUGACACUGAAUAACGGGUCAGACUCCUACGGGAGGCAGCAGUCGGGAAUUUUGGGCAAUGGGCGAAAGCCUGACCCAGCAACGCCGCGUGAAGGAUGAAGUCUUUCGGGAUGUAAACUUCGUAAGAAUAGGAAGAAUAAUACGG
rnacentral:rRNA from 1 species